AGGGAUCAAACGUGUGCCGCAGCAGUGACCUGAGCCGCUGCAGUGCCAGUGCCAGAUACUUAACCCACUGCACCACAAGGGAGCUCUGUUGUCUGCAUGUCUUAGCACAUGGCUUAAGCAUCCGAUUUCACUGUUUUCACACACUAAAGUGGAACCUCCCUGAGGACAGGGACCGGUGUCAAGUGUUAGCUCAGUACGAUUAGAGGAAUAGUCAGGUUUCUCUCUCUCUCCACCACACCCUGAACUCUUCAGGGUCAAGGUGUGUCCCGAGACCCCAGCGUCUAUCACAGAUAGAGCUUGAGCCCCUGCGUGCGAAGGACCCUAAGCCGAGGUUGAAACAGAAACAGGGAGAAGACAGAACUUUCUAGGGAGGAAAGUCCUCCUAAAACAAACACCCCCAUCUCUGGGCCUAAUAGAUGUGAAUGAAAAUGGUAUUUAAUUGGCUAAAACCAGAGCUGUCAUCACCUAAUCAGAGAGCCUGGAAAUAGAUUUGCAGCACUCUGCUUCUGCCGGGGGAACCAUGGUGCAGCCGCCUUGGGAGCCCCGGGCCGCUGCAGACGCCAGUAGGCGUCCGUCUGUCUGGGGAGCAGCCUGGAGGUUUGGUUAUUCGAUCAGGGGAGGCCGGAGCCUGGGAGAAAGCUCGGGGUGUCGAGGAAGCCGGCAUUUCCGGAAAAGCCGACAGCCCUGUUCGUUUCUCUUGCCUAAAUAACAAUCAUCACUGCUCCCUGGGGCCAGCACUUUAUAGUUUGCAAAGCGCUUCAGCGUUCACAAGUCUGCCCCGGGUGUCCAGGAGGGGGUCUGGCGGGAUUGUCACCCCAGCGUUAUGGGCCAGGAAACCCAGGCUCAGGCAAGGCAGCGGGUCAGGAACUGCCCUGCAUCUUCUGAUUCCUGGAAAGGCAAGGGGUAGCGUCACCCCCGUGGGGUGGGGCUGUCAGAACUUGCCCUCCACCGAUUUGGGAAGUCUAGUGAAGGCCUCCUGGGACUGCCUCGUUACCCCCCUACCCCGGCUGGGUCACCCCCAUUCUUUCCUCCUCCCACCCGGCUCUCUUGGACUCCUGGGAAUCUGCAUGGCUGGCCAGGCCCUCCGCCUGCUGUGAUGCCAGUGCUGCCCCCCCCGCCCCCCGCCACCCCCCUCCUACCUCACCUGCGCUUGGCCCCUGAGGCUCCGCUCGGGAAUCACAGCAUCCAGAAGCUCGAACAGGCUGGGAGGGUGACCUUCCCCCAUUCUCCCUUCCCGGUCAGAUUCCAGAGCCUUCUUCUUGGGGCUGGAGGUCAAGGUGGACUCCACUUUGACAGAGACGGAGGGACGGGUGGACCUGAUGGCAGAACACGGAGACAGAGGAAUGAAGGGAUGGAGGACAGGGCAUGGCAGGGCUAGAGAGAGUCAAGGGUGGCGAGGUGCCCCAGGGCUGGCAACGGAGGGGGACUCUUACUGCGGCCGGGUCCGAAGGGAUGAGGCGGGGAGGAGGUGUAAGAGAGGCUGCAAUGGAGCCACUGUGGCCUUGACCAGUGCCUGCCCAGUGGGGGUGGGGGAGCCAUGAGUAGAAAACACCCCCUCCCCUCCUGCUGCCUCUGGUCGCUUCCCAACCUCCCCCCUGCCACCCUCUUCACCCCAGCAAUGGGCCAAACCCUACAAAGAGCCAGAGGGCCGUGGCCUGGGUGAGGUCCUCCACCCGGGGUGGAGGAGGCGAAAGACCUGGCAGGCAGGUGGAGGAAACCCAGCAGGUGGACCUUGAGUAGCUGCGAGGCCCACGCUGACCCGUCAAAUGACUGGGUGUUUUUGAGUUUCAAAAUUCAGAUUCUCUGGCUCCUGCCCUACCUCAGUGUUCUAACUUAGUGGGUCUGCUUUUUACUGGUUUAUUCAUUUACUUACUUAUUUUAUAUUUUUGGCCACUCAUGCAGCAUGUGGAAAUUCCUGGGCCAGGGAUCGAACUCACACCUCAGCAGUGACCCAAGCCACUGCAGUGAGUUAACACCGGAUCCUAAAUGGGUCCCUAUGCUGGAGUUCCCACUGUGGCAGAGCGGGACUGGUGGCAUCUCUGGAGCGAUGGGACACAGGUUUGAUCCCAAGGACAGAGGGUUCAGGAUCCAGCAUUUCUGUAGCUGCAAUGUGGGUCACAACUGUGGCUCAGAUCUGAUCCCUGGCCUGGAAACUUCAUAUGCCCAGAGGUGGCCAAAAGAGAAACAAUAGGUCAGGGUUCUGGGUGAUUUUUAAGAGCAAUGUCAGCAUUUUUGGGGGCAGCCAUUUUCACAGGGACCCUGGGACUUCUGAGCCCUGGUCGUCCCCCACCCCCCUGGUUCCCUGACAGCCUGGGGCCAGUCACUUCCACCUUCUGGGUCUCAGUUUCCCCAGCAGGAAGCAGAGGGAUCUGGAGCCUUCCAGCCUGAAGGGACUGCUCUCUGUUGCCGGCCACACCGCUGGCCUGUAAACCCUCCCCUCAGCUCCUGGCGUCCCAGCUCUUUGACAGUGACAAAGGCCGAGAGAGGUCAGCACGUGGCUGCCCUCUGCGUUUGCAGUUCUCUUGAAAUGAAAUGUAUGUUCUCCUGGGGUGAACGAAGGUCUCUGAGAUCGGGAACCCACGACAGACGCAGGGAGGCGGGUUGGAGGUUAUGGCUUUAUACGGAUGCAGCCACACCCCACAGUCAGGCCUCCCCGGACAAGGGGGCAGAGAUGUGACGUGCCACAGUCCAUAAUCCUCAGGGAGCCUGGCCUGGAUCCUCUGUACCCCUUACAGAGGUAGGUAGGACCUCCAGGAGCAGAUGUGUAGCAGUCUGUCCCCAGAGGCGACUGUUUGCUCCAGAGACCACCGUGCCCCCUCUCCCCUCAGCAAACCCGCUGAGGCCGGUUGGAGAGGGACAUGCUCGCUGCCAUGGGCACCCGGGCCCUGGCACACAAGUGCAGAGCUGGCCUCCUCUGUCCAGCAGACAGUGCCACUGGGUCUCAUAUCUUUUGUCCUGAGAACCCAGCUCAGGCCUGGGACCCGUAGGUGUCCAUGGUGUGUUGGACAAAUAGACACAUACAAGGUCUCCUUGGACUUGCCUCGCGCAUUGCCAGCCCUGAAGUAAUGGCUGCGUGUUAUUCCUCUGACCUGGAUUCCAGCUCACAGCAAUGUCCACCCACCUGCCCAGCUGCCUGAUGGCAACCCAGCCACUGUUUUGUAGCCGAUUCUGUGACAUCUUCUAGUGGCUGAAAAGAGCAGUCGCUGAGUUAUAAAGAGCACCCGCCCUGCCGCCUGUCCAUCAGGUCCGGGGGAGAGAUGUGCUGCCUCGGAGGGCCUCCUGCUGCUACUGUAUGAGGCAAUAGCUGUCACUCACAAAGGCUCAGAGAGGUUCGGGGAUGUGCCCUGCUGCCUCAGCUAACGAACAGCCUCCUCUGCCUGGCAUCUCCAGCAUCCAACAGCGAGGACCACUGACCCCUCCUCCCCCUCCGCUCAUCAGCCCCCUGUCCCUCUGUCAUGUCAUCUUCUGAGAAGACGCCGUCUCACGGUCUCCAACUUAUAAUAUGUGCUGUCCUCUUUUCAGGCUCUGGUGUUCUUCGGCCUCCAGCUGUGGGCACCCAGGGGUCUAGGAGACACCCCUGUGGGUCACUCACCACCUGGAUGACUCAAGCUGCCACUGCCUUCAGCCUGAUGGCUUUGUGUUGGCCAAGCCGAGAAUGCCCUCGAAGGGAUCCCUGCUCCCUGCACACGUUGACUCCGAAGGCCUUUAGGAAGGCUUACUGUCACUUGGCUGUGCCUUCCCUGGCCUCCCCCACAAUCCUGUCGCGGUGUCCCCACUGAUGUUCCCGGAGGCCACUGCAAAGAGAAGUUGAGUCACGCGGCACUUGCACCCUGGUAUUAAGCCGAGGCAUGCUGAGUUUUAUGUUUCCAAAGCACCGAGAUGCUCCUUGGUUGGCAUUUCCCACCCCUAGGGCUGCAGUCAGAGCCUCCAGGUUCCUGAGCUGGGGAUUCUCCCAGUCCUGCCUUUAGGUUUCCCCCCAGUCUUCGUUUAGCACCUGGACCCUGCUCUAGGCCCAGGGCAGGUAACGGGGAACCAGACAGAUGAGGUCCUGACAUCCGAGGGGAAGGAGCACGAUUAUAAGGAAAGGCUGUUUCAGAGCGUGAAAGCAUUUGGAAUGAAGUAUGGCAAAUGGGGAGUUCCUGCUGUGGUGCAGCGGGAUCGGCGGCGGUGUCUCCGCAGCACCCAGGACACAGGUUUGAUCCCCAGCCCAGCACGUGGGUGGAAGGAGCCCCAUUGCUGCAGCUGUCGCUUGGCUCUGAACUCCACAUGCUGCAGGGCGGCCAAAAAAGCAAGAAAGGCAAAAAAGAACAUGGCAGACAUGGUACAACGAGGAGACACUAGUAGCUGGAGUGGUUGGUGAUAAUACCCAUCAGCAAAUGAUGACCAGAGGUAAAGGAGCAGCCCACCACGUGAAGGGAUGGGACAGGACCAGGCACGAAGGUCUGAGAGCCCAGUGCAGCUGCACAGAGCAAAUGAGGGGAAUGGGAUUAGGCGGGGAGGCCAGGGGGCAGGCAGGAGCCACCUGCUCUGGGCUUUGAAGGCCAUGUUAAGUAGUUUGAAUUCUACCCGGCACCAUAUAGAGUACCUGGGCCAGGGGAUCAGAUCCAAGCACAGUUGCAGCGUACACCGCGGCUGUGGCAAUGCUGGAUCCUUUAACCCACUAUGCCAGGCCAGGGAUCGAACCUCAAUAUCCAUGCCAUGUUUGUAUCCAGGACAAACAGCAGACUUCCUUUCCCGCUCAUUGUAACAUGGCAAGUCCCCAACUCAGAGUCCUCUCCUGUCAUGCAAACCCAGGGCGUAGCAGGUGUUCACCUAGACUCAUCUGUGUCACCCCUCUGG
rnacentral:lncRNA from 1 species